UAGAAGUGGUUAACAUAUUUUCCGUUUGAUGAUAAUGGUGUUGUCGUUGGGGUCUGCGUCAGGUGAGUAAUUUCAGUACAGCAGCGCAACGUGUACAUGACCUCAACGAACAACAUGUUGUGAGUGCAUGUGAACAUGAGACAUUGUGAUCCACAUAGCUCUCCUUUGCCCCAGCAGACGCCUCCCUCAUCUCGACGCCGCUGAUUUGAAGGUGAUACCAGGGGAAUCGCUGACUCUUUCUUGUGGAGUCGAGCAAGAAUUUAGUUUUUGUAUCAGGGACCACGAAGAUGGGAGGAGUUUCCAGGUCAAGGAUGUCCACAGUGGCUUUCACCCAGGGAUGAGAGCACCGAAGGAUCUCACAGACAACCAGUGCGGCAUCGUCAUCAACUCUGUCAGCUUUGAAGACUCCGGAGAGUGGACAUUUAGAGUGUUCCUCACUAGCGGCGGGGAAUUACGUAGCACCAAGGUACUCGAAGCAUGUCACGACCCCUUCGCAGAUGUGGCAGGCGAGUACCUGUACUUCCACGAGACUGCUAUGACCUGAUUGAGUAUGUCCACGACGCUGUUCACCCCGGGAUGAGAUCACUGGAGGAACUCACAGGCGAUCACUGCGGCAUUGUCAUCGACUCUGUCACCGUUGAGGACUUAGAAGCAUUGACUAAUGUAAAGUGCUCCUCUCUGGUGGUGGUGGCGAAUUACGCAACACCAAGACAGUUGCAGGCAAGUUGGAAUAUCUCUAUCGUUUCUGUUAGACUUACAGAAGGAGUGAGAUACGUGUACUUUAACAGCUGCCUGACCUGAUUUCUCACAGAGAUAACGCUGAUAAAUACAAUAAAGUUUAUAACUUUAAGAUGCUGCUUAAUUAUUAGUAAUUCUUAGCACAUAGAUGAUAAAAACGACAAAAUGGUGAAACUUUGUGUCAAAGGAAACACUUAAUGGCCUCUUACGAUUAUUACUACGCAAUUAGCAUGUUAUAUAUUAGUUUAUCGUAAGAAUGCCGUGUGAUGAGAAGUAGGUAGUUGGAACACACGUAUUGUGGCAGGGUUUAUCAUGUCUUUCAUGAUAACAUUCAUAUUUCUUGAGAUAUGUGCACCCCUUACACUCAUUAUUAUUAUUAUUAUUAUUAUUAUUAUUAUUAUUAU